GUGUCAGCCGCCGCGGUAAUACAGAGGGUGCGAGCGUUAAUCGGAAUUACUGGGCGUAAAGCGUGCGUAGACGGUUACGUAAGUCGGGUGUGAAAGCCCCGGGCUCAACCUGGGAAUUGCAUUCGAGACUGCGCAGCUAGGGUGCGGAAGAGGGAAGCGGAAUUUCCGGUGUAGCGGUGAAAUGCGUAGAUAUCGGAAGGAACAUCAGUGGCGAAAGCGGCUUCCUGGUCCAGCACCGACGUUCAGGCACGAAAGCGUGGGGAGCAAACAGGAUUAGAUACCCUGGUAGUCC
rnacentral:rRNA from 1 species